CGCCCGACCUCUGCGCGCCCCCGGAGGGCGCCGGGAGCACGUUCGGUCACGUGGUGCGCGCGGCUCGCGCGCCUGUUCCGCGCCGGCCGGAUUGGGCCCCCAGGGGUCGCGCGCCGGGCUCCUCCGCGAACGCGGUGGCGCAGUGGCCCCUGACACAACGGGGGCGGAGCCAGGGCCUUUGGCUGGGGGCGAGGGGGGAGGGGAGGGACCAUGAUGAACUUCGGGGUCCGGGGCCCCGAAGCGGCUGCGAGCGGCCGGUCGGGUCGUCCCCGCUCCGGGACCCGUGACCCCGGCGAGAGUUGGAACCACGGACCGUGAACCGGAAGGGGCUGGGCAGGGUGGCCGAGGGCUGCAGCGCGGCGGGGUGGGCCACGGUGCGCCGCUGCUUCCCCUGGGGUGCUCGGGACCCGCGCCCCGUGCUUGGAGCCAAGGGCGGGGGGUAUGCUUUGGGGCCCAGGCUCUCCAUAGUGUGACUCGGGGUGUGGCAUCCUGGGAAAGGUCACCGUGCUUUGGUCCAGCACUGGGCCGGGCCCUUAACCCGACCCGUGUCCUUCCCCUCGAUUUGCAGGUUAGAAAACAAGCUCUGGUUGGUUAAUCAAGGCCAAAAUUGUCCUGCCAGUUGCGAAAGAAGUUGAGCUCUGGAGAAGGGUGGAGAAUUCUGCUCAUCCUUGGGUCAUGGAAGACCCCGAGAACAGCCGACAGGGGCUGCCGCAGACCGAGGGUCUGGGACCGGCGGAACCCUGCAGCACUCAUCCCUGAAUCCUGAAGGCCCAGUGUGGAGGAAGCGUGAGGGUGGGGAUGAGAGGGGCAGAGAUGGAUUGGAUGUGACAUGAAGCUGGAGGACAGAUGGAUGGAGGGACUUAGUGCGGAGAGAAGCAAGGGGAUCCUGCCCCCAGAGACCCCAAGGGGAUGGACACUAAAAGGCAACAAGUACAUGUCUGCAUGGGUUGGUGGUCUCAGAGCUUCAGGGGAAGCCAGUUCCUGCUAGUUCUCAGAGCUGUUGUCUUCCCUCUACUCCGAGACCUGAGGUGGCCUGAGUCCCGACAGUCUUCCCUGAAUGUCCUACGCUGCAGGACCUCAAGAGAUGCAGAGUGGUUCCCCCAAACCUGUCAGGUGGAGCUUCACACCACUCCGAGUGGGAGAGAUCAGAGCCAACUUUAAACUUUGAUCAAUGAAGAAAUGGGCUGUUUCAUAUUGAAAACAUAUUGGUGAAGACAUGAGAUCUUAGGAUUCUCUAACAUUAUUAUAGUAUUUCCCCUGAAGUCUGGGAGCAUUGAGUGUUUCCAUAUGUCAUUCAUUUGAAGUAAGAAGAGCCAGGGAUUCGCAUCAACCCCACCAGAGGGAGGAAGAAGCAGGGAUGUGGAGAAGAAGCCGUGGCCUCCUCUGUGCUGGGGACCCUGGGGACAAAUGGGCGUUGGUGGUAUCCAGGUGUUACCCAGAAUUGUAGGGCAGGGAAGUGCUGAGUUCACAGGCCUGGCCCAGAAGCUUCUAAGGCCCCAGACACAGAAUGGGGCUGCAGGGCGUCUGAGUGUGGAGAAGGAUCCACCCCUCAGGCCCUAGAAAUCCCUUUGAGCAAUGCCUGCUCUGACUGAAACCUUGUUCUUGGAAGAUCUCUUUUGAAGUAUGCUCUCCCACCUAAACACUCCAGUGUAAAUGAGUUUUUUCAUAUUUCCUUCUUUGCCUCCCAAUAAAGAAAGCCAGGGCUGGGGUGGGGGUGGGGGACAGGUAUAAGAAGAUCUGUGUUUGCUGACAGCUCAGAGGGUGGCCUCAGGGAAAAGGCAGGGUCAGCUGUGGCCAGAGGGAGUUUCUCCUUCCAAGCCUCCUAAUCCCUGUGUGCUGGGAGCCCUUGCUCUUCUGGCUUGGCCCCUGCUGUGGUCAGAGCAGCUCUAAUCCAUCCCAGAUGCCUGACCUCAGUGCUGCCCUGGAAUCCUGCCCCUUCCCAGCUUGCAUUUGGAGGGAGUGGGGGGACCACAGCCCAGGCCACACUUUUCACUCUCCCCCAGAUCUCUUUUUUGGCGCCUGGAGCUUUGUAAAUAUCUGGCUAUUUCCCCACCUGUAGGAUGGUGACUCUGCUGUGAGCCUAGCAGGGCUGUUUGAACAGCAACGGCAGGGCUGAUGUGAAAUGGCCUGAGCACCUUAGAGGAGUAGCUUCAUGGGCAGUGUUUGGAAUAGGCCCUGGGUAUGUGGGAAGUUCAUGGUCGGUAUGCAAAUACUCAGUGUAGGUUCGCUUGGGUGGCGUAGUCAGUUAAGCAUCUGACUCUUGGUUCCAGCUGAGGUCGUGGUCUCGGGUCGUGGGGUGGAUAUCUGCACUCAGCAUGGAGUCUGCUUGAGAUUCUCUGUCCCUCUCCCUCUGCCCCUCCUGCUUGUGUUCUCUCUUUCUAAAAUAAAGAAAUCUUUAUUUUUU